GUGCGCGCCUCAGUGCGCCUGCGUGGCCUCUGCUUCGCUUAAACUUUUCCGGCAAUUUAAGCAAUUAGGAAGGAAAGCGGAAACGGGAUUAACUAAUGCGUUCGAUUCUUAUUGUAUAGCUAUUACUUUUGUGCGAAAGUGCUCCAGCCGCCGAAAGAAUCUCACGUGCAAGCUUUCUUACGGGAUUUGUCGAUGGGAUAAAGUUAAACGAUUCUACGGUCAAUGAGUUUGAACUUUCUUGGUUUUACCAGAAUAAUUAUUUGGUUCUUCUAUUAGCAGUAGCAUUACAGACGAGACACAAAAUUGACCUGGCAUCUUACGGGAUUCUGUGUCGCAUGUUCUGAAAUACCGAUUGAUCAAAACAAAUUGCGAGGGUGCUAACCGUCUGUGGCUAAAGCAUUGACAAAGAACAGAAUAUACGUGACAUCAUUGACUAAGUCUCCGUGUAGAUGAGCGGCGUUUUACCGCCCAAUCCCUUUGCGAUCUGUUACAUCUGCCAUUCUUGUUCUUAAUAGGAAAACGAAGAAAGACAUAUGAUAGCAACGAUAUCGAGCGGACAAGAAUGAUUUGCGGCAAAUCGCCGCAGUGACAGCGGGUUGGAAGAAAAAGAAAAUGCGUAUAACAACGACUGGUGUCAGUGUGCAUAUUUGAUUAAAUAUGAAGAGAAAGGGUCUCUGCGCAACGUUCUUUAUCUAUUCCCAUAUCGCACCUACUUACACGGUCUCAUUCGUACCCUCUACCAUUUUUGUGUUACAUGCGUCGUUAUCAAUUCAAUAUAGUAUAGUGAUUUCAAUUACAAGUAAAGUUUUCUAUGAAAUUACAAAUACAAUACGAAUUAGGAUAUGGUGUAAUUGUAAAUGAAGUAUGGAAUUUUACACUUUUACAUACUUCAAUCUAAGAAACUCGCAACACAAUUUAUGGAUAACUUAAAUAGAUAAAUUGCGCACAAACGAAAAGAGCAAAAAAGUCAUCAACAAUUUGCUUGUGUGGAUAAAGGUAUCGAUCAAGUACUUCAAUCUUCAUAAAUAUACUAAAACUAAGGCUUAAAACUAACGAAACAAGUUAAAAGUAAUAUUUGAAAGUAAGACUUAAGACUAAGAUUAAAAAUUAUACUUAAAACAAAGAGUAAGUCCCCUGUUGCUUCACGCCAUCCAACAAUCAGGCUUAAAGUUAACGUAAUAUAGAUCUUAGAACUAAAACCUAUUUAAAUGUAAAACUAAACUAAAAAUAGAUAUUAGAUAGAUAUCAAUCUAAUGUGCAUUAGGACGUGGCUAUACUGGCAGCUUUUCAUAUCAAAGACUGUAACAUAGAACGAAAUUUAAGAAAUUAAAUUAUAUAACACAGGUACCCCACGAUAUCCCUGCAAUAUAUCCCUGCAAUAUCUCUCUACAACUGGUGCUAAUAAUUUAUUAACGAAUAUCUAUUGUAUGAUUAAUUAAAGCUAUAACGCAUGCAUUGCACGGUGUAGGUUUUUAAGCUGAGAGUGAAAACUAAUACUUAAACCUAAAACUUAAAAGGACGCAUACAUUACGCAACAACUAUCUCCCACGCUACGUUAUAAGAACAUUGUACAAUAAUUCGAUGACAGCAUUCAGUAUCACAAGAGACCUCCAAGUUUCAACGAGGGGCUCUAGGAUUGACCAUCACACGAUUUUUGUCUGGCCAUUCGAAACUUACACAAUCCACCGUCGAAGCUGCCGACUGAUGAUACUGCGGUAGAUUAGUCAAGGAUCGAGAUAAUGUAAAGAAAAGCAAACAUUACAAAUUUUCAAGUACCUAUUAAAUAUGGCAAAAUUUUGAUUUUGUCUUCGUGUACACAUAGAAGUAUGACACACUCCAACAAACAAGUGGUACUUCCGAUAGGAGGAACCACCAAAUAGGAUUACGAAGCACUAGUCCUCGACUGAACAAGUGGGGUUCACUCCCGGUGGGAUGAACUACUGAACAGGAUUACGAAGGACAUCAAAUUACUGGUCUUAACCCUGUCCGAGUACCGAAGCACCAAUCGGGUAGGAUCUUCAAUUGGACUCUGUAAGCACCAUGGUCGUGAUGAGAACUCCCGCGACUCGAUGCAAACCGCGAAUAGUCAUUGAGCAGUCACCUAGAUAAGGGGAUCCUUGGAGCGACUUAUGAAUACAAGAGGUUGUCAAAUGCACGCUGAUUCGUGCGUAUCCGAAAUACGCACGAGCGAGUACGCCACGUAAUAAUUCGAAGGAAUUGGGCGAUUGCGAACCGAUAAAUCGCAAGAUCGACUUAUGUGAUAAAUUCAUGGGGCAAGACAGAAGAGAUUUUUAUGUUUUGUUCCAAAUUAAAUAAGUGUACCAUUGUACGGAAUGGACUCACGAUGAACUUAACAUAUGUAUCUAUCUUAUGAUUAACUAAAGUUAAAACACACGCAUCCUGUGAUGUUCCCGAGAUAUCGCACGACUUCCCAUGGCGUCCCCGAGAGAGACUGUUUGUGAUCGUGCGCGAUGCGGUCAGUGGAGUCAGUGUCUACACAUUAGCUCUAAUUAAUUGUAUCGUAAAUACAAUUAGGGUCAGAGUUAAUUGUAUCUACAAUGUAUUGUAUGAAAAAUACAAUUCAUUCGCGAAAUUACAGUCAGUGUUUGUUCGUCGAUUAUAAUUCAAAUGGCCGCGUUAGUAAUUCAUAAUAAGCUUUUUAAGUAUUCGUUUUCUCAGAAACUCAAAACUUCUCUCAAAGGGAUCCAUCCUCUGCAUAAUUUAAAAAUGACUUUUCACAACCUCCACAUCUACGAUAAGGUUCGAUGCUUUGAUGACGGUUUCUUCUGGGCCAUAGCAACAUUGAUAACAACGUUCUCCACAUCUAAUCAUUUGCUUCAAACUUUACCGACGCAAUCAUAACAUGCGUGUUCCACUACAGAGUCAAUUUCAAGACACACAUAAUAAACAUUCAUUAAAGGGGUCUUGAAUCCAAUCUGUGUGAGAUGCUAUCACCUUUUCAUAAACUAACAGCCAACUUUUAAUAUCUUCUACUUAAACACAUCGAUGGAUCCACGCCUCAUCAUAUACGCACCAUAUUUUGAAAGGAGUUGGAAACCAACUAACUAAUACUAAACCAACUAACCAAAAGUCCAACAAAUUUUUAAUAUUUACAAGUGAAACACACAAAUGGAGCCAGGUCUCGCGCACCGUAUCUUAAAAGGAAUCUGAAGAACACACGGAGCGUUUCGAUCACUAAACCAACCGGCCAAAAUUGCAAGAAAAUCUUAGUAUCUUUAACCCAGACACACCGAUAUAACCCAGUGUAUACGCAUCAUAUUUUACGUGCAUUUCGAUCGGCUAACCUUUGCAGGCGGAUAUCGUUUCGAAGGUGAAAUAAUUAUUGUACCGAAGGCAACGAGCGUGCAGCGUACACGAUAAAAUCCUUUCCGUAGAUGGCGAACAACACAUAUUCAUUCGCACGAACAUGCACACAAUCUCCCUUUCUCACGCAUGUAUACUUGUGUAUGUAUAUGCGAAACAUACAUACAUACUUAGUUGAAGCAAGAAAGAGAGUCGAGGAGCUUAUUUACUUAGCCUGCACACCACCCCUAGACGCAGGGAAAACAGUUAUACGUAGCUAACUACGUAGCUACGCUAAUUAGAACCACUCCGGCGGAAUAAUUAGAAAUUAGACCGAACGGACUGCCGGCGAACUGGGCAGAGAACGCCGUCGGAGACACUCUUAAUAUAUGCCUUUUAUUUUUCCGCUCUCCCUCGUUUCACAGGAUUGCACGCAACGGAAAACGGGUGUCGUUGGAAGGAGGAUAAAAAGAAGCGGAGCGUGCGGUUACACCACUUCCAAGACGUCCGCACGAUCGAACGCCCGGUCGCUUGUAAUCUCGUUUGCUCCUCCUUUUAAUAGAUCGUUAAUUAGCGAACGGAUUAACUAGCCUUCCAUUUCUGGUAUGACCUUCGAUCGGUAAAUUUUUCUUCUUCUCGACAGAUGAGGUACAGUGAUUGGCGAAAGUUAUUCGGACGCUUAUUAUAGUUCGUAGUGUGUCAUGCGUUAUAUGAAAAAUUGUGAAAUUUCUUUAACGUUGUAAUGAAACACGAUUAUCAUAAUUAUAUUGGAAAGAAACCAAUUUGAAAAUGGGCAUAUGUAGAAAUUGCAAGAUGUCUGUUGCCAAAAUAUAUUUAGUAAAAAAUUAAUAUAUAGUGUGAAUAGACGUGUAAUAUAUAUAGUGUAAAAUAUGAUAUAUAAUAUAUAGUAUAUAUCUAAUAAGGGUCUCAUUAAUAUAAUAAUUGACUGCCUCUAGAUAUUCUUGAUUCUGCGAAAUAUACAUACUUAUAUUAAAUAUCUUGUAGUUUUUGUAUCAGAUUUCCAGAUUUGUUUUACAUUUUAUCGAUAUAAUCAUGAUAAUCGAGUCUUCUAACAGUCCUAAUAAAAGUUCAAAAUGUUUCCUUUAAUAUACGUAAUAUUCAUAUAAGAUUUGCACAAAGUGUUCCAGAAAAGAUAUUCGAAGCUAUUUAAAUGCGAUUAACUUGAAGCUAAAUGAUUCGACCAUUAAGAAUGAUCGUAAACGAGCAACGGAUGCUCGUGAACAGAUAACAAAAUUAAACAAGAUUUUAUAAAACUAUCAAUCUGACAACUAUCGAUCUUAUCACUAAUUCAUAAAAGACGCAAAUCAUCGCACACAAUAAAAGAAUCGUAGCUCGACUUCGAAUUAACCUGUUACUAACAGCCGGUUGUCUCGAAACAAUCGAGCCAGGUAAAAGCGGGUUAAACGGAUCGCGAACUCGUUUCUACCUUAAUUAUAAUGCUGUUCCUCUGUUUCUCCUAUAUCAGAGAGAAAGAGUGGGGAAAGUUUGAUUUUUCGCGUGACAAAGGCAAAAGUUUAUCGGUUCGACGACGCGUAAUUAUCGUUGUUUCGAUGGGAGGAAUAGUCAACGACAGAGUCUUUCAGAGUACACGGGACCAAUUCCGAUGGGGCAGCCCCCGGUUUCUACAACUUUAGCGGUAAUUAACAAUCGGUCGCGCAUAACAAACUGAAUUUAAUUAAUUGCAUAACUGCACGGAGGUCCGUGCUUCUAAUCGAACCGGGUACAUAUUGUUGCAGCCACCCUUCUACCCCUCAUCAGCCACCGGCAAUUAAUUAUAGCAUUCCGGGUUAGCCGGGGAAUUAAUUACGUCCAGAAGUUGGACGUAGCCGGGGGAUCGUUAGAAAUCGUCCUUCGUUAGAGUUAAGCGAGCACCGGUUCCGCUGGUUAUUGAUGGUUUCUGGUUCCUCAUCGGCCUGUUACUGACAGGGCCGAGUGCCCGUCCUGGCAAUUCUGCAUCCGUCUGCAAUCAGACGCACUUUGCAUUUUAAUAAGAACCAAUAAUGUUAUGGGAUUUCUCUCUUUGCUCGGCCCUAUCUUUAUUUUCCCAUGUUUUCUCCUGCCUUCAAGUUAGUAAACUUUAUCUUUUUUUGUCGUUUUUUAUUUCUUCCUAUCAAUGAUCGUCAUUUCUGUUUCUUUUCUUGUCAACCUUCUCGCGUUUGGUAUGCGAUGUUAUAUGUUAAAAAAUUAUUAACCCCUUAACCUACGAUUUACGUUCGAGAAUUUUGGGCCGAAAACGUAAACAAGCUCGCGCAGCCUUCGGGCCAUUCGCACUACGCCAUUGUGUAGUACGUACUACGGGCUAUGCCCGUAAUAUUUACGUCUGACCCGAUCAUUGCACUACGGGCUAUGCCUGUAGUUGUAGGUUAAGGGGUUAACCCAACGAUACAUUUAUUUUUUGUAAAACCAGUCUUUAUUUUAAUUUUGCGAAAAUUUACCAAAGAUGAGUUAUUAAUAAGAAAAGUCCAUUUUAAGGUAAUUAUUCGAAUUUAAUAUUCCAAGAAAACCGUAGCUCUCUAGGUAAGUAAGUUACUUCACCAGCGAUAAGUUCCAGGAUCUUCAUCGUUCAAGCUGGGUGUUCUCCAGUUUGAUCUCUAGAUGAUCAACUACAAUCAGCCAUCUCUCUCGAAUCAUUCGAUACGAAAAAAGAGAAAUUUACAUGUUAACCAUCCAAUUCAGGACGGCUGUCCACCGUCGGAAUUUCUAAAUUGAAACACGCGUCCGAGAUACAUCGGAAGAAAUAACGGCUUCUUGAUCGACACAGGGCAAACGAGCCAGGACCGCGGUUUUUGGCCUGGGAUUAUAUUUAGAGGCAUCCGGGGCGUCCGCCAAACAUUCGUCGUAAUUAAAGACGGUUCGGUAACGAGUUAGCGACAGUCAAUUAAGAAAAAUUCCGACAGUGUAUUAUUAGAAAUCCGCGGUCAUUAAGGGGAAUGAGACAAAGCGGAUCCGUUGGUCGGUCAGAUGGGGUGGGUGACGUUUCUAACGAGCGAAACACGUCGUGGUGUCUCGACGCUUUUUGCGAGGGUUACACCUCGCGAACACACGCCUAUUUAUACGACCACUUUUAUUUAAAGUAGCAUAAACUUACGGAUAUAAUAGGUGCACGUCGGAGGUCGCAGGGUCCUCGUACACUGAGACCGACAGAGUGAGGCAGAAUCUGGCAUUCUCCGUCCCGAGGAGGAGGCAUUUAACAGACGUGCACGUGUUCGACCAUAUUGCAUUUGUGUCGUUCGAUAAAUAGGUAGGUAAGCAACUCCAACGGAAACCCGUGUUAAUUAACGUUGAGUUUCAGGACUGAUUUACGUGGCGUCUAAUUAGCGGGCCUGCCGGCGACGUAGUAGGCAUUUUGAUUGGCCACUCCGCGAAUAGAGCAUGGGCCGAUUGGCCUUGCUUUCCUGUUCCGACAGUAUCGAUUGUUUUCGUUUCUUCUCCCUGCCCUGCUGCCUCCUCCUUCUCCAACCCCUGUCCCUCCUACCUCAACCGUCACCCAUUGCAACCACCCCGUCCCAGCCCUUGUGGUUGCUCUUUUUACGAUCUCCUCUUGGAACAAAGCGCAGAUAGCUGGAGCAGUUGCGCGUCCUCAAAGGGAUUCCGUCGCAAGAAGAGUGUCGGCUCGAAAAUAAUGUAUUACGGCCGUCUGCUCGGCCAUUAAACCGUGCGCUUUUUACGCUAUUAUUAAAGUUUUAUUUCGGCCCAUCGGUUCCCCCGCAGGAUCACAUGCAUUGUUCUUCUUUUACAUACUUGCGAUCCUCCAUCUUGUCCACCGCGUGCUUGUCCACCGAGUGAUUCAUGCACCCUGCGCCGGUGGGGUUAUUAACGAUUCCUUAAUUAAAUAAAUUCUUCCGUUUCCCUUUUUAUUCGGCCAACUGUCAGCCUAUUUUCUCCUUUUUGUGCAAGGAAAUGCGUAGGGAAAGAAAGAGUUAGUCGAAUUAGUGGAAUACUUGAAUCAAGUUACGCGAUUCAUUUGGCGAUAUAUCAAAUUCGAUUACCAAUAACUCUUUCCAACGAUUGGUCUAUGAAAGUAGAUUCCUUGACUCGUUGCUAGUGAUAUGAGAAAAUAUUAUUGACAGUUUGACGGUCAUAAUUUUCUAUAAGAAUAUAACUUCCACUCAUCGAAAGGAAAGUUUGUUCAACUAAUUUUACUGCUUCAACUAAUUUUUACAAAUAAUAUUAAUAUUCUCGGUUGUAAUUAUGAUAAUUCAGUAGCGUGCGCAUGCUACUUUAUUUCUGAAAGUUAUUUGGUUGUUUAUUUUAUUACUUCCUGUAUAAUAAAUACCUCCUUCUAUUUUAGAUAAUCCUAUUAAAGGAUUAUCCGAAUUAUUUUCUCGUUUUUGAUAUUUUCCCUUGCUCCACCUACAGUACACGAUAUUUUUCAUUUUUUCAUUAUCAUAUUAUAAAACUAAUAACGUCUCAUAAUCUGCUUAUUUUGUGCCAAGUUCGAGAUCGAAUAUCGAAAAUGUUGUAGCUUAAUUGACUCGAAUAACUCUACUUUACCCUAUACGUUGCGUUGUUCUCUUUCUUCUUUGUUUCCCUAUGUACAAAGAUGGAAUUGAUUUGUUUCUUCGAAGUCAAUUCACAGGGGUUAAAUUGAAUU